AUGCUCUUCAACCACGGAAUUCUCUGGUGACCUUUCCGUAGGAAUCACAUGCAAAUGUCCCAGUGGAAGGUCGCGAUUGGUCUUCAAAGGUCAUCUCCAUUCGUCUAGAUGGUUGUCUUCACAAAAGAAGGAAGUUCAGCGAACACAACACACAAGGAUGAGAAUGAAUGUACCGCGCUGGGAUUGCUGUUUCUUCCACAGGUGGGGUGAGGAACACGGAAGUUCACCCCCCUCUUGCAUUGGCAAGCUCUGAAGGUGGCCCAGGGCGGCAGGUUCUGCCAAGUCCUGGCCCCAGUAUGCACACAGCUCUCAGCACAGGGAACCCACUUCUCCCGCGGGUCACCCGCGGCGUCAAGGUGAUGAGAGACGGAAGCAGGUUCCAUUUCCCCUCCUGGUUCCAGAUGUCAUGUGACCCUCCCCUCACCCCUGCAGGCUCUAGUUCAUUCUUGCUGUCACCUGCAUCCGGCUUUCUUCUCCUCGGAUGGCUGACCUAUAGUAACUGCACCUGGAGGUGAGACACAGAAGCAGCAGCCUGCAGGGACUGCAUGGCCAGCAUAGCCUGCGGUCUCCAUUGCAGAAGGUCUAGCCCCUGUAAACGCUACAAAUCCUCCCUUGGUAAAUUACCCCCAGAGGUUCUCCUUCUCUGAUCAGACCCCACCUGAUCCAGUGGGUACAGCUGAUCACACAUGCAGACCCUCACAAUUGCAGGUACAGUGGUAGCCACGCCUCGCGUCUAAGAGUUCACGUGCAUCGAGGCAGCAUGGACCCUGCCAAUCCCCAUCUCAGAGGCUGUGGCGCCCACCACGCCUUUUCUCUCCCGGGCUGUUGAGGUCGGGACUGGGGUUGACGCAGAGGUUGUGGAGCUUGUGCACGUGACCACAACUGGAGGAAGAGCGUGCUCAAAGGGAAGUGGACAGGAUGAAGGUUGCCAUGCAAAAGCUUGCCGUGACUGGCGGCGAGAGGGGCAGUGCUUUCGUUUUGGGGCAGCAGGUUGUUGCCUGGUGUCUGUGAACUGGUAGUGGGGAGGGAUCCCAGGGAAUCCCAUGCUGCACAUUCUGAGGGAUGCAUUUGCCUUCAUAGCAGCAACAGCAGCUGUACCCGGUCCUUGAAUGGUGCUGCGCAGGGGCCAGCUGGGGCCGCAAGCAUUUACAUAGGAGUGGCCCCUUGGGAGGCAGCACUGGAGAGUGGGGCCGAUCACAGCCCUCCGGAGCAGCUAGGCUGCAUGGAUCCAAGGCAGGCUGAGAAAAGGAAAAACAUCCAAAAUGGAAGUAAAAUAUGCAACCAUGUAUAUGUUCACAGGAGGAAAACAUAGGGACGGGGAGAAAGGAGAGAAGUGGAAACAGUGAACCUCCCAAGACAUCCUGUGACAGAGAGAUAAAAUGAAACCUCCUGUCUGUCACCAGAAUGCCAUAAUUUUAUCAUUCUUCCCACGCAAUGCUGUGCUAUUUUGGGUUCCGGGGAUCCCCCCCACCUCUGUGUGCCCAAGAUGUCUGAGAAACAAACGUGUAAGAAAAUGUUUUAUUCUCCCCAGCAAGGGAUGGAGAAUUCAUUACAGGAAGCACAUCUCCGAGCUGCCUCCUCCGUGUCAUCGUGCUCUGCCCUGCAGAAGAUUUCGUCUGCGAGCAGAAGCCUAAUGAAUUUGCCCACUGUGGUCCUGUGCCCAGAAACUGAAAUCCUGUUGCGCUUCACUGGUGGGAUCCUUUUCCUCAGCCACGGAGCCAAGCAGAAUGGAAAAGAUGGCCAGCCUCCCUUUUGCAAAGACCAUGCGUCUCCCCUCCCCCUUACACACCAUGCCAGUGAUUUCUACAUUCUGCUGGGUCUAAUUUCCUUUGUAAAAGGAAAAGGAAAAAAAAAAACCCACAACAAGACAAAACAAAACAAAAGAAAGAAACUUGGAACUCUUUUGAGGACAAGGAAGGAGAAGUUGGAGGAAGGGGAAGCAUUUGAUGUCACCUGAUUACCAUCUGUUCACCAAGUUAGAUAUUACAUCAAAGGAACAAUCGAGAGCCUGUAUAAACCAGGACGCUGAUGGUCGUCCUUGUACAUGUUGUGCCUCCCUUCUUGGCCUUUCCAGCCAGGCUUCCUCUGUCUCAGGACGGCUAUGGCCUUCAUCACCUGUGCACCUCUUCCCACUCUGGAUGAGGUCAGAGCUGCAGGCUGGGCCCCAGGAAGGUCCUGGGCGGGGUCCCCUCCACACCUCCGUGGUCGGGGCAAGCUUUCCUUGGUGGAGGUCACUCUGCCCAGAGCCCGGAGGCUGGGACAGCCCUGUACAGAGCCCACCGGAGGCUGUGUUGUUUCCAGAAUGGUAUUUUCAGCAGCAGAGCAAGCCAGGAAACUUAAGGAAAGAAGCUGCCAUUCAUUUCCAGGAGGACACAGGACAGGGCAGUAGACUGGUCACCAGCCAGCCCGAACAGCCAUCUGCUAAGAUCAAGUCAUUUCUCCUUGGAACACAAUGACACUUCAGCCUAAGAAGGGAACUGAGCCAAUUUGGGACCUCGGCUUGGGCCCGUUCCAGCUCUGAUAAUAAAAAGUUAUGUUUUCCUCAGAGGGGUCCGUAGUGACACGGAAAGGACUACUGCCAGGUGCCCUCAGACCUCCCUGUUUCUCCUUGCACCCUCAGACAGAUGCUCUUAUAUCCUGCCAUUUAUAUGCUAUUCUGUGAAAGAGUCAGACCAAAGUGAGCCCUACAGUGCUUGGAAGAUUUAUUUUGCAAUAUAAAAUGCACCUCCUCUCUGUAAACCACACGACUCUCCUUUAACUCUUUACCUGGAUGUUUCGCCAUUUCUGUGCAAGCUGGGUGUUUCUCUGUCGCUUCUAAGACCGCAUCAUGUCUACCCAGAGAUCUCUGAUCGGUCCACUUUUUCCAAGUUCAUCCAUUCUUAAAGUUGAGCACAAAUGCUAUCUCCUCUAUGAGGCCUUGGCUGAGAUCCCAGAGUUCCUGCUUCCCACCGAAGGUGAUCUUCUUUCUAGAUUCCCCUAGAAUUCCCCUAUUUAUGGCAGACUAAAUUUUAAGGAUCCCAUUCAUUUCUGCAUCACUUAAUGGUUGUCUAAGUACAUAGUACAGUGGUUAAGUAUGUGGAUUCUGGAGGCAGAUUUUCUGGGUGCACAGCUGGGCUUACGUAUUCACUCUGUGACCUGGGGCAAAUUAUUUAACCUGUCUGUGUACCAGUUUGUAAGAUGAGGAUAAUAACUAACUAUCACGUAUGACUGUUGUACAAAUUAAAUGAGCAAAUCUCUGCUGAGUGUAUAGAACUGGGACUAGCAACUAGCCCAGCAAAGUUGGUUGUGUUUAUUAAUAUGAUUUAUUAUUAUUAUUUUUUCCUUUAAGUUUCCUGAUGGCAGGGGUCCAUCUUGUCUAACUUUCUACUCUACCACAGUGUUUUGCAUAUUGAUACAUGUUUAUUUACUUUGCAUAUCGAUGCACAUUUAUUUAUAAAUAAAUAGAUGUCCAAUGAAUAAA